ACGAAAUCCUCGCAUCUGUACAUUCUGGUCUGGAAUUGCAAUUUAGCAAAAGAAUUUCUUGCUUAGAAGACAUAGGAACGUUCACUUGCUUUGCCAAAAACGAGCUAAAUUUGGAAAUACCGAGUAAUAAAACACUUGGUGUCGACGUCAAGUGUUCACCAGUCUAUCCGUUAAAAUAUUCGCCGAAGUUGAAUGUCACUGCCACAAACGGAGAAGAUGUAAUUUUAACUUUCAAAGUGUUUUCGAAUCCACCACCAUUUUCUGCAUUUUGGUCAUUUAGACAGGACGCUAAACAAACACCUCAAAAUAUUACACAAGAUAUAGUAUACAUUUCCAAUGACAAUAUGACAACCGACAUAAGGAUCUCAAGAAUAAGACCAGACGAAUUUGGAGAAUAUUCAGUCACUGUACACAACAUCCUCGGAUCGAUUAGUGAAACAUUUUAUAUAAUUCCUGAAGGACCACCAGAAAGACCUUUACAUUUUGUUGUUAAAGAAUAAUUUAUUACCAACACCACAGCUGUCGUUGCAUGGACACCUUCAUUUAACGGAGGUCAACUUCAAACAUUCAAUGUUUCUUGGAGACAGGUCCUCACAACUAAUUGGUUCUCUGCAAACGCUGGAACUUACGCUAAUAACUUUACAUUCAUAGAGUUGAUACCAGGAACAAAGUAUGAGGCAAAAAUGUUCUCUUCCAAUUUAAACGGAAGGUCGGACGAAACUGAAAUUAUUUCAUUUUCAA